UUUGUGUAUGAUUCGUCUGAAACUCAUUCAUAAAGGAUGAGCGAUGUAAGUGCAAUUUGUGCCAUUGCCAUGACGUGAGCCUCGUGAUGUGGCUUUUCCUGUAAAAAAUGAACAUGAAAGUUUCACUUCACAAUCAGAUUAUGUUGUUUCAGAGGAAAUGAAAUACAGAAGUCGUUGUCAUCAUAGAUGCAGACGUUUAGAAAACCCCUAAUGCUUAUCAAGAGAUUGGGGGAUUUUUAUUGGUUGUUUGAAAAAUACUUCUGCCUAAAAUUAAGUAACCAGGAUAAGUCAGGUGAAGAUCUCAGAGUGUAAUGCAGUUAAGUAUUAGAGUGUAUCAAUGUGUGUGAUGUAAUUCGUGUCUGCGACGCCAGGAUUACAGACACAAGUCCACAUUCUGUUCCUUGAGGAACUCCUCUUGUGUGCAAAGCACUUCAGAGCUUCACUGCAGCAGGUAUGUCGGGUCAAUCAGCCGCUAAAUUGCAGCUCACAGUCAAAUAAAAAUGUGUGUUUUGGGCCCCAAGGUAAGUGAGCUUUAAGGAUUUACGUAAUUAUUUAGAGAAUAUUGAGCUUUCAACUGUUCACGCUUUGUCUUCCUCUCGUUGUGUUUUGAAUCCCCAGUUCACAUCUCAAUGUUUGAGAUCCGCACGACGUCAGACGUUUGGAGAGGGGACAUCUGCUUCCUGACUCAAAUGACCCGCCAUUUACACCCGACACUCCUACUUUCUCACCCUUUCAUCAAUCAAUGGAGCCGAUGACGCAUGUAGGUCACACCACUACACCUUCCUUUAUGGUUUCCACAUGAGUCUUUCAUCCACGCAUAUUCAGCCUGGAGGCCAUGUUUAUUGCAUGUGAUGUGAUGCUUAACCGUAGCGAGUCUCCAAGCCCGUUCCCGCUAAGUGCCUCUGUACUUCAUAAACACAGUCGCUGGCCUCUGUCUUGAAAAGCACACUCAUGCAUGGAGGAUCUCCACCGCAAAUCGCAAAACUAUUAAACCACAGUGGAGGGCAAGCGAUUUUACUGCAAAAAUGAUAAUUUCCCUGCUGGAGCUGUUAAGAUAGCUGUUUUACCUCCGUUGAGGCUUGUGUAACACCAUCUCUAGCACACUCCAAUGGUGCCAAAGAAUUCCAGGAGGUCCUUCUGUGAACAGGACAUCGCAUUUCAUUCAUACCCAUUGAUUCUUGAGCUGCACCUCUCCAUAAUGGGCUUGUUCAAUGUAGUUCAGACCAAAAGUGCUUUGAUUAGUGCAAACGAUCUCCGUAAUAGAACAAUUGGCUUGCUUGUUGGUAAAAUGUGUAAAGUGG
ensembl:lncRNA